rnacentral:rRNA from 1 species
GACGAACGCUGGCGGCGUGCCUAAUACAUGCAAGUCGAACGCAGUGGGGACGGGUGAGUAACACGUGGGUAACCUCCCAUCAGAGGGGAUAACACUUGGAAACAGGUGCUAAACCGAUACUGAUGGAUGGAACCGCGGUGCAUUAGCUAGUUGGGGAGGUAACGGCUCCCCAAGGCCACGAUGCAUAGCUGACCUGAGAGGUUGAUCAGCCACACUGGGACUGAGACACGGCCCAGACUCCUACGGGAGGCAGCAGUAGGGAAUCUUCGGCAAUGGGCGAAAGUCUGAUCCAGCCACGCCGCGUGAGUGAAGAAGGUCUUCGGAUUGUAAAGCUCUGUUGUUAGAGAAGCGGUAUCUAAACAGAAAGCCACGGCUAACUACGUGCCAGCAGCCGCGGUAAUUC